UCCCUGGUGGCUCAGAGGUUAAAGCGUCUGCCUCCAAUGCAGGAGACCUGGGUUUGAUUCCUGGGUGGGAAA
rnacentral:tRNA from 1 species